ensembl:lncRNA
AUGUCCCCAGGUGUCCCCAAGUGUCCCCAAAUGUCCCCAAGUGCCCCCAAGUGUCCCCAAGUGUCCCCAAGUGUCCCCAGGUGUCCCCAAAUGUCCCCAGGUGUCCCCAAGUGUCCCCAAGUGUCUCCAAGUGUCCCCCUGCCAGGGACAAGGGGUCCCCAAAUGUCCCCAGGUGUCCCCAAAUGUCCCCAAGUGUCCCCAAAUGUCCCCAAGUGCCCCCAAGUGUCCCCAAGUGUCCCCAAGUGUCCCCAGGUGUCCCCAAAUGUCCCCAAGUGUCCCCAAGUGUCUCCAAGUGUCUCCAAGUGUCCCCCCUGUGCCCAGCGACAGGGUGUCCCCAAGUGUCCCCAGGUGUCCCCAGUGUCCCCUCCCAUGUACAGGAUGUCCCCAAAUGUCCCCAAGUGUCCCCCCGGCCAGGGACAAGUGUCCCCAAAUGUCCCCAAGUGUCCCCAAGUGUCCCCCCUGCCAGGGACAAGGUGUCCCCAAGUGUCCCCAAGUGUCCCCAGGUGUCCCCAGUGCCUCCCAGGCAGGGACAAGGGGUCCCCAGGUGUCCCCAAAUGUCCCCAAGUGUCCCCAGGUGUCCCCAGGUGUUCCCCUGUCAGGGACAAGGGGUCCCCAGGUGUCCCCAAGUGCCCCCCUGCCAGGUACAGGGUGUCCCCAAGUGUCCCCAAAUGUCCCCAAGUGUCCCCCAUGUCCCCCCUGCCAGGGACAAGGUGUCCCCAAAUGUCCCCAAGUGUCCCCAAAUGUCCCCAAGUGUCCCCCAUGUCCCCCCUGCCAGGGACAAGGUGUCCCCAAAUGUCCCCAAGUGUCCCCAAGUGUCCCCAAGUGUCCCCCCUGCCAGGGACAAGGUGUCCCCAAAUGUCCCCAGGUGUCCCCAGUGUCCCCCUGUCAGGGACAGGAUGUCCCCAAGUGUCCUCAAGUGUCCCCAAGUGUCCCCCUGCAAGGGACAAGGUGUCCCGAAGUGUCCCCAGGUGUCCCCAGGUGUCCCCAAGUGUCCCCCAUGUCCCCCAUGUCAGGGACAAGAGUGUCCCCAAGUGUCCCCCCGGCAAGGAAAAGGUGUCCCCAAAUGUUCCCAGGUGUCCCCCUGUCAGGGACAGGGUGUCCCAAAGUGUCCCCAAAUGUCCCCAAGUGUCUCCAAGUGUCCCCCUGCCAGGAACAGGGUGGCCCCAGGUGUCCCCAAGUGUCCCCAAGUGUCCUCCUGCUAGGGGCAAGGCGUCCCUAAGCGUCCUCAGGUGUCCCCAAGUGUCCCCAGCUGUCCCCCAUGUCAGGGACAAGAGUGUCCCCAAGUGUCCCCCUGCCCAUGGACAGGGUGCCCAGGUGCCCCAAGUGUCCCCCCUGCCAGGUACAGGGUGUCCCCAAGUGUCCCCAAAUGUCCCCAAGUGUCCCCAAGUGUCCCCCCUGCCAGGUACAGGGUGUCCCCAAGUGUCCCCAAGUGUCCCCAAAUGUCCCCAAGUGUCCCCCCUGCCAGGGACAAGAUGUCCCCAAAUGUCCCCAGGUGUCCCCAGUGUCCCCCUGUCAGGGACAGGAUGUCCCCAAGUGUCCUCAAGUGUCCCCAAGUGUCCCCCUGCAAGGGACAAGGUGUCCCGAAGUGUCCCCAGGUGUCCCCAGGUGUCCCCAAGUGUCCCCCAUGUCCCCCAUGUCAGGGACAAGAGUGUCCCCAAGUGUCCCCCCGGCAAGGAAAAGGUGUCCCCAAAUGUUCCCAGGUGUCCCCCUGUCAGGGACAGGGUGUCCCAAAGUGUCCCCAAAUGUCCCCAAGUGUCUCCAAGUGUCCCCCUGCCAGGAACAGGGUGGCCCCAGGUGUCCCCAAGUGUCCCCAAGUGUCCUCCUGCUAGGGGCAAGGCGUCCCUAAGCGUCCUCAGGUGUCCCCAAGUGUCCCCAGCUGUCCCCCAUGUCAGGGACAAGAGUGUCCCCAAGUGUCCCCCUGCCCAUGGACAGGGUGCCCAGGUGCCCCAAGUGUCCCCCCUGCCAAGUACAGGGUGUCCCCAAGUGUCCCCAAAUGUCCCCAAGUGUCCCCAGGUGUCCCCCCUGCCAGGGACAAGAUGUCCCCAAAUGUCCUCAAGUGUCCCCAAGUGUCCCCCAUGUCAGGGACAAGAGUGUCCCCAAGUGUCCCCCUGCCCAUGGACAGGGUGCCCAGGUGCCCCAGGUGUCCCCCCUGCCAGGGACAAGGUGUCCCCAAGUGUCCCCAAGUGUCCCCAAAUGUCCCCCCGCCCAGGGACAGGGUGUCCCAGUGCCCCCAAGUGUCCCCAGGUGUCCCCGGGUGUCCCCAAGUGUCCCCCUGCCAGACACAGGGUGUCCCCAAAUGUCCCCAAGUGUCCCCAGUGUCCCCUUGCCAGGUACAGGGUGUCCCCAAGUGUCCUCAAGUGUCCCCAAGUGUCCCCCUGCCAGGGACAAGGUGUCCCCACGUGUCCCCAAGUGCCCUCAAAUGUCCCCAGGUGUCCCCAAGUGUCCCCAAGUGUCCCCAAGUGUCCCCCUGCCAGGGACAAGGUGUCCCCACGUGUCCCCAAGUGUCCUCAGGUGUCCCCAGGUGUCCCCAAGUGUCCCCAAGUGUCUCCAAGUGUCCCCAAGUGUCCCCCCUGUGCCCAGCGACAGGGUGUCCCCAAGUGUCCUCAGGUGUCCCCAGGUGUCCCCAAGUGCCCCCAAGUGUCCCCAGGUGUCCCCAAGUGUCCCCUGCCAGGGACAAGGUGUCCCCAAGUGUCCCCAGGUGUCCCCCUGCCACCAGGGCCAGCCAGGAGGACGCGCCCCCAUCAGUGA